GUGGCAGUAGCUCAGUAGGUUAGAGCAUCGGAUUGUGGUUCCGAGGGUCGCCGGUUCGAGUCCGGUUUGCCACCCCA
rnacentral:tRNA from 1 species